rnacentral:tRNA from 1 species
GUGGACAUAGUUUAAGCCAAAACACCAGGCCGUGAACCUGAAAACAGAGACUCAUCU